rnacentral:tRNA from 1 species
ACUGUGAUAGUCUAAUAGAUAUUUGAUUUCGACUCAAAAGAACUUAUCCAAUAAGUCGCAGUA